rnacentral:rRNA from 1 species
UACGUAGGGUGCAAGCGUUAAUCGGAAUUGCUGGGCGUAAAGCGUGCGCAGGCGGUUCGCUAAGUCAGAUGUGAAAUCCCCGGGCUUAACCUGGGAACUGCAUUUGUGACUGGCGGGCUAGAGUAUGGCAGAGGGGGGUAGAAUUCCACGUGUAGCAGUGAAAUGCGUAGAGAUGUGGAGGAAUACCGAUGGCGAAGGCAGCCUCCUGGGCCAACACUGACGCUCAUGCACGAAAGCGUGGGGAGCAAACAGG